UACGUAGGGAGCAAGCGUUGUCCGGAAUCAUUGGGCGUAAAGCGCGCGUAGGUGGCCUCAUAAGUCCGCUGUGAAAGUCAAAGGCUCAACCUUUGAAAGCCGGUGGAUACUGUGGGGCUAGAGUACGGAAGAGGCGAGUGGAAUUCCUGGUGUAGCGGUGGAAUGCGCAGAUAUCAGGAAGAACACCCGUGGCGAAAGCAGCUCUCUGGGACGGUACUGACGCUGAGACGCGAAAGCGUGGGGAGCGAACAGG
rnacentral:rRNA from 1 species